GAUUUGAGCCAUUUGGUUGUGAUAUUUAAAUUAGUAUCAUUUGUAACUCAAACAAUAGUGGACCUAAAAAACAAAUGAAAGCCCAUUGAAUUUUUUUUCCGGGAAGAAAACAGAAACCAUCGGCCUUCUAUGUGUUUUUUUCCCGUAGAAACUUUGGGAACUUCUACCGAUCUCUUCGUCGGUGCUAUCUGUUGUUCUAGCGAGAUCUACAGACACGCCUAUGAUUGUUUCACAAAAAGGAUUUCUGAAGAUAGAUCUACUCAUUACUAUGGCAGAUCAUGGCAUACAGGUUUGGAAGACGAAGACCCUUCUCUCUGAUAGAUAGAGGCCGUAGCGUGUAUAAUCAAGUCUUCAAACCUCGUCGAAGUAAACGAUGAGUAAUUACUAACAGAAGGUCGUCUUUGUUCGUGUUUAUUCAAAGAAACAGAAGGACAUGGGAGAGAAGGAUUUAUAGAAAAGCCCAGGGAGAGUGAUGGUGUCGGAUAGAGAUGAUCAUCAAUUGUAAAAUGACAUAGCAAAGGGAAGGCACAAUGAUCAUUUAGUGGAAAGUAUCAAGUACCAGUAGUGAAGAUGAAAAAGAAGACAACAACCAAGACAUGACAACAGACUUACUACACGGUUAGUAAUCACUUCUCUAUUGUAACUAAUUACUAAUGUGAAAGAAAAGUAGGACUGUCUAGAAAACAUGUUUAGAUUAGAGAACCCCGGAAUGUCUUGGUUGUUAUUAUGCAGGAUAUAGUACUUGAUAAAUAUUAAAGGGAUCAUGCUUACGGUUAGAAAGGGCAGAAUAAUAGUUUCAGCCCUUUAAUAUAAGGGCUAUGAAUUUAUUUACCCAUUGGUCUGCUAAAACCAUCUCAAAGGUAUCUCCAAAAGGGGUAUUCUGCCUCCACGAAUGUAAGCACUUAACUUGACCUCGCCAGUUAUUCUUGAAAGGCCUGAGUUUUGUGAGAGGAUGGAAAGUUGUAAUUGCAGACAUUUUUGGAGGAUUUGCUUUGAAUGAUACGAUGUUGAAGCUAUAGAGGAAGAGGUAUAUAUACAUAGUUAGUAAAGGGCUGAAACUCACGCAUAACCAAAACUACUAAUCUGAUGCACUGACGUAAGGGAGUAUGACAAUGAUAUACACCGGUAUGAAAUAGCGGUAUGAAAUAGGUAAACAGCAAUUGUAUUUUUAUUGUUUUGUGAUGUAGAUGUUUAGUAAUGGUUUGUAAUAGAUGGUUUAGUAGUAAGAUAAAACGUCUGUGUUUAAUGUAAUGCAUAGAACGAUAUGUUAGGAAGUGGUAGGAUGUGGUUUAAUUUAAUGGUACGAUAAGUAAGGAAACAUGUUUCUCGGUUUAAUAAUAAACGUAUUUCUCGGUUUAGUAGA